AGGACUACACCGCUUCUGGUGCAACGGGACACCGUGACAGUGUGGGAUGCAAAGGUGCCCUCAAGUGCAGCAUUCCGACAGAGGACUAAUGGCCUCCAUGUUCUAACCGGUUGCUGUGACAACCGGUUUGUCGGUUGCUGGUAGUUUUGAAAGAUAACUGCCCAGCUGCAGUCACCUCAGGACCAACGUCCCUCUGGUAUAGUUCAUUUGCUUGUUAUGUAACCUAAGUCUGCCUUCAGUUCUCCAGGCAAGUAAUGUGGACAGAAAAGUCUAUCCUGCAGUGAAGUGUGUGUAUAAAAAUGCAAGUAUGUGUGAAAACAAGAUUUUAAAAUGUAUUAGGGAAGAUUGCUUGCAGAGUAAUACAAACGUCUGUAUACAUUUUGCACUAAAAUGCUGCUGAAUUUUCAUAAGGCCUCUUUUUCAUAUUUAACAAAAAAUAAAAUAAAAUUGAAAACCGAUGUGGAUGUGUGCAGAACUGAACUUAGGAUUGGAAAGAUGAGAAACCGAGAGAAGCCAAAAUUGACAGAUAUGCCCAGCCUUCCUUCCACAAUCAUGUUUGGCACAGUGAUUACCGUAUUUUUCGCUCUAUAAGAUGCACCAGACCACAAGACGCACCUAGUUUUUGGAGGAGGAAAACAAGAAAAAAAAUAUUCUGAAUCUCAGAAGCCAGAACAGCAAGAGAGAUCGCUGCGCAGCGAAAGCAGCAAUCCCUCUUGCUGUUCUGGCUUCUGGGAUAGCUGUGCAGCCUGCAUUCGCUCCAUAAGACGCACACACAUUUCCCCUUACCUUUUAGGAGGGAAAAAGUGAGUCUUAUAGAGCAAAAAAUACGGUACUUUAAAAA